rnacentral:misc_RNA from 1 species
GAUGAAGAACGCAGCGAAAUGCGAUAAGUAAUGUGAAUUGCAGAAUUCAGUGAAUCAUCGAAUCUUUGAACGCACAUUGCGCCCGCCAGUAUUCUGGCGGGCAUGCCUGUUCGAGCGUCAUUUCAACCAUCAAGCUCCCGGGCUUGCGUUGGGGCCCUGCGGCUGCCGCAGGCCCCUAAAACCAGUGGCGGGCUCGCUGUCACACCGAGCGCAGUAGCAUUUCUUCGCUCUGGGCGCGGCGGCGGGCGCGUGCCGUAAAACAUACCACUUUUUAAAGGUUGACCUCGGAUCAGGUAGGAAUACCCGCUGAACUUAAGCAUAUCAAUAAGCGGAGGA